rnacentral:rRNA from 1 species
GACAGAGGAGCCAAGCGUUGUCCGGAUUGACUGGGCGUAAAGCGCACGCAGGUGGUCGCGCAAGUGCCGUGUGAAAGCCGGCGGCUUAACUGCCGGAGGCCAUGGCAGACUGCGUAACUCGAGUCCGAGAGAGGUCCGUGGAAUUGCCGGUGUAGUGGUGAAAUGCGUAGAGAUCGGGAGGAACACCAGUGGCGAAGGCGACUACCUGGCCUGUUCUUGACGCUGAGGCGCGAAAGCUAGGGUAGCAAACGGG